GACGAACGCUGGCGGCGUGCCUAAUACAUGCAAGUCGAGCGGACGAAUCGAAAGCUUGCUUUUGAUUCGUUAGCGGCGGACGGGUGAGUAACACGUGGGCAACCUGCCCUGUAGACGGGGAUAACACCGAGAAAUCGGUGCUAAUACCGGAUAACACGAAAUGUCGCAUGACGUUUCGUUGAAAGACGGCGCAAGCUGUCGCUACAGGAUGGGCCCGCGGCGCAUUAGCUAGUUGGUGAGGUAACGGCUCACCAAGGCGACGAUGCGUAGCCGACCUGAGAGGGUGAUCGGCCACACUGGGACUGAGACACGGCCCAGACUCCUACGGGAGGUAGCCGUAGGGCAUCUUCCGCAAUGGACGAACGCCUGCCGGAGCACCGCCGCGUCAGCGCAGCAGGCAUGCGGGUCGUCCAGCUCUGUUGUUAGGGAAGAACAAGUAACGCAGUAACUGGCGUUACCGUGACGGUACCUAACGAGACAGCCACGGCUCACUACGUG
rnacentral:rRNA from 1 species